AGCUGACAAAGCCACAGCCGUCGUGAGGCGGUGUCGGAAAGCCACGGAUCUCUCGGGAGGAGACCGCCGGGUUGCCAUU
rnacentral:ncRNA from 1 species